rnacentral:rRNA from 1 species
ACGUUUCCUUCGGGGAACUAGUAAAGUGGCGUCCGGGUGAGUAACGCGUGGAUAAUCUACCUUGAAGUUGGGAAUAACUUGCCGAAAGGCGAGCUAAUACCGAAUACCCCGAGUAGUUCAUAAUGAGUUAUUCGGCAAAGGGAGCCUGCAAAGGCCCUCGCUUUAAGAUGAGUCUGCGUCCCAUUAGUUAGUUGGUGGGGUAAUGGCCUACCAAGGCAACGAUGGGUAACUGGUCUGAGAGGAUGAUCAGUCACACUGGCACUGAAACACGGGCCAGACUCCUACGGGAGGCAGCAGUGGGGAAUUUUGCGCAAUGGACGAAAGUCUGACGCAGCGACGCCGCGUGAGUGAAGAAGGCCUGCGGGUCGUAAAGCUCUGUCGAGAGGGACGAAAAGCUUAAGGGUUAAUACCCCUUAGGUCUGACGGUACCUUUAAAGGAAGCACCGGCUAACUCCGUGCCAGCAGCCGCGGUAAUACGGAGGGUGCAAACGUUGCUCGGAAUUACUGGGCGUAAAGGGGAGGUAGGUGGUCUCGUAUGUAUAGGGUGAAAGCCCUGAGCUCAACUCAGGAACUGCCUUAUAAACUGCGAGACUUGAGUCCCGGAGAGGGUCGCGGAAUUCCCGGUGUAGCGGUGAAAUGCGUAGAGAUCGGGAGGAACACCAGAGGCGAAGGCGGCGACCUGGACGGGAACUGACACUCAACUCCGAAAGCGUGGGUAGCAAACAGGAUUAGAUACCCUGGUAGUCCACGCCGUAAACGAUGGGCACCAGGCAUGGUGGGAUUUGACCCCUGCCGAGCCGG